UGUUGGCAAUUGUUGUAUUCAUAUUAAUACGAAUCCCUUCCAGCAAAUAGAAGAACAUAUAUAAGAAGCCAAUUAAAGUUGUACAAAAAAUAUAUAUAGCGUCCUGUUAGGAUGAACAAUCAAAUCAAGUAGGAAACUUAAAAUCCAGAGGUUGCCAUGGACAUGUUAGAGAGGCGACUGGGAGUUGGCCGGAAAUUCAACCACCGGAGACUGGGCCUCUUACUGGACCGCAUCUAAUAGUAGAUUCCGGCUUCCCAUUUUUUACGGCUCGUAGGGGAGCUAGACGCAGUUUGUCUUGUCUGUCAAAGAGAAAGAGUCAGUAUUAAGAGUCGAGGAAGAAAAUUAUACAAAGAAAAGUGAAAUAGAAAAGAUCAAAGAAGGUAACCAGCCAAAAGAUUGAUAUGAAAUUGGGAAAAUACAACUAUAACUGGAUUUUGCUAGUCGUUGAGAAGGACAACAAUCUCAGUAUCUAACAUAUGAACCAAGUUUGAACAGAGGGACAACAACCUAUAAAUCCCUGCAACAACCGAAGCAAAUGAGUUAUUAAGACAAUGGUCAAUGAUAAGUAGCAUAUAAAAGGAAUUAAAAGAGCUUUGCUGCAUUUGCAACAUUGAGGUUAUGUUCAAUGGACGAACCAGGCUCAACAUAAUUCAGAUUUCCUACAUAUAUAAGUUUCCAACAAUAUUUAAAAGAGAAACACAACUGUAAUAGAACAACAAAGAAGGUAACAUCUGAAGCACUACUUUUGUGGAAAAGGCAGAAUCUUUUAAGGAAUACUAGAGCCCCGAUCAUAUUGUACUACUAAGUGAUAAUCAAUUCCAUUUGAACAGGUCGGCUACUUCAAAACUAACCAACCAUCAUGUGUCCUCACCCUGCUUGGAAAAAAUGUUAGUGCGAUAUUAAUUAACACUAUUUCUAUAUAAAUAUGGUAAACGAGGAUAAUUUCGAAACCCCAGAUUAAGAAGGAUAAUUUUUUUGGUGUAAGAAUAUGGAGUGACCUUAUAGGAGGAGAUGACAGGCUAAUACCUUGUUUGUUGCAUUGAAGAGAAGCUGAAACUCAAACUUCAAAUCAAACUCUGGUCGCAAUCGAGGCAAACUUUGUUGACUGAAUGCAUCUGAAAGAACAAAUGGAAAAGCAGCACAGGCGUUAGCUACAGUCCAAGGCCAUCAUUGUUGCUGCAAGAGUUGUGCAGCUUGCUGUACUCGGACUGUGCUUGUAAACAAUAAAGUUUCAGAUUGCUCACUCAUCAAAUUAUACCAAUUUACAAACCUAUACACAGACCAACAUUUCACAUAUGUAUAUGGAUACCUUUUAAGUUACAGUUCAAUUAGAGAGACUCUCAUAUAACCACUAUAACCACAUUCAUGGAACAUGAGUCCGAUAGCAAAGAAAAUAAUUCCCAUUGUUACAUUUGCAGGCUGGAGAAUAUAAAGUUGGAACAUGCUCUUAAUGAGACAAAGUAGCAAGAGUGAGGGAGUAGUUUCACACGCACACCCUGGCAACCAACAUCCUUUGUACCUAAUCAUAUUUUUAUUACUUUUGUGUGUGCAUCAUGAAGAUAGUACAAUAAGAGGAAACCAGAACUUGAGUUGGUAAAACACGGUGAGAAUAAGACAAAUACCAAUCAGUCCAAGGUAGGAAGUGCUUGGAGCCCAAUGCAGGUCUAGCAGCAGCAAAGUUGUAUAUGUUGAUUAUUGUGGGUUCUGCAACACAAGAUCAGCAAAUGGUUAGUGAAGUGUAAAGGCAACUUUGUACAGUUUUCCAGUCUGCAAUGUCUAGCUAAUAACAUCCAUAUGCCUAGCCAAAAAACAACCAGAUCAAUCCUCCAUGCAAGGGCAGUAUCCUAAAGAAAGUUUAAGACACUGUUGGUGAAUGUUGCGAAAACAUGCUUAAAUCUAUCGAAAACCCAUCAAUAAGCAAAGCUAGUUAGCUAAGCAAAGAAAUUGCAGAAGAAAGAAAUAACAUAUCUAUGCUAUGAUCCAAACGUGGAACGCCUAAGUUUAUAAAACCUGAUCAUGGCUUUGAUGUAUCACUAUAUCAGAGCUAUAACCUCAAAUUUCAGAUGUGGAUAUCACAAAAGCCUUUCUAUGACAUCAUCUUUAGAGUAUAUUAAGGCUCCCACAACAACGUGGGUUCCUGGCAUCAAGCACACUAUAUAAGAAUUGUUAUAGUUCUUGAAGCUCACCGAAUCAGGCAGGGGAACAAUUUGCUUACAUCAUCAAUUAUUGUGGCAUUGCAGCGCCUUAAUCGUAAGAGGAACCCUACAAAAUGAUUCAAAGAUAGAUUCCAAUAUGAAAGAAGGGAAAAACAUAUCAAAACGAUUACAAAGCUCAAAUCUUUAGCAAGAAAAAAGAGGAAAAUACACGUAAUUACCGGCCAUCAACAAGCAAACUGAGCACCAUGAAUCUAUAAGUAGAUUUGCUUCCCACCUCCAAGAAUAAUGAAAAAAAGAAAAGCAACAACCAAAUUAACUGGUAUACAAGCUAGGAAUCAUAAUAUCUGAAACACAAAAUCAACAAUAUGAAAC
rnacentral:lncRNA from 1 species